AGAGUUUGAUCCUGGCUCAGGAUGAACGCUGGCGGCGUGCCUAAUACAUGCAAGUCGAACGCUUCACAUCGGUGAAGAGUGGCGAACGGGUGAGUAAUACAUAAGUAACCUGGCAUCUACAGGGGGAUAACUGAUGGAAACGUCAGCUAAGACCGCAUAGGUGUAGAGAUCGCAUGAACUCUAUAUGAAAAGUGCUACGGGACUGGUAGAUGAUGGACUUAUGGCGCAUUAGCUUGUUGGUAGGGUAACGGCCUACCAAGGCGACGAUGCGUAGCCGACCUGAGAGGGUGACCGGCCACACUGGGACUGAGACACGGCCCAGACUCCUACGGGAGGCAGCAGUAGGGAAUUUUCGGCAAUGGGGGAAACCCUGACCGAGCAACGCCGCGUGAAGGAAGAAGUAAUUCGUUAUGUAAACUUCUGUCAUAGAGGAAGAACGGUGGAUAUAGGGAAUGAUAUCCAAGUGACGGUACUCUAUAAGAAAGCCACGGCUAACUACGUGCCAGCAGCCGCGGUAAUACGUAGGUGGCGAGCGUUAUCCGGAAUUAUUGGGCGUAAAGAGGGAGCAGGCGGCACUAAGGGUCUGUGGUGAAAGAUCGAAGCUUAACUUCGGUAAGCCAUGGAAACCGUAGAGCUAGAGUGUGUGAGAGGAUCGUGGAAUUCCAUGUGUAGCGGUGAAAUGCGUAGAUAUAUGGAGGAACACCAGUGGCGAAGGCGACGAUCUGGCGCAUAACUGACGCUCAGUCCCGAAAGCGUGGGGAGCAAAUAGGAUUAGAUACCCUAGUAGUCCACGCCGUAAACGAUGAGUACUAAGUGUUGGGUGUCAAAGCUCAGUGCUGUAGUUAACGCAAUAAGUACUCCGCCUGAGUAGUACGUUCGCAAGAAUGAAACUCAAAGGAAUUGACGGGGGCCCGCACAAGCGGUGGAGCAUGUGGUUUAAUUCGAAGCAACGCGAAGAACCUUACCAAGUCUUGACAUCCCACUGACCGGACAGUAAUGUGUCCUUUCCUUCGGGACAGUGGAGACAGGUGGUGCAUGGUUGUCGUCAGCUCGUGUCGUGAGAUGUUGGGUUAAGUCCCGCAACGAGCGCAACCCCUGUUGCCAGUUGCCAGCAUUAAGUUGGGGACUCUGGCGAGACUGCCGGUGACAAGCCGGAGGAAGGCGGGGAUGACGUCAAAUCAUCAUGCCCCUUAUGACCUGGGCUACACACGUGCUACAAUGGACAGAGCAGAGGGAAGCGAAGCCGCGAGGUGGAGCGAAACCCAUAAAACUGUUCUCAGUUCGGACUGCAGUCUGCAACUCGACUGCACGAAGAUGGAAUCGCUAGUAAUCGCGAAUCAGCAUGUCGCGGUGAAUACGUUCUCGGGCCUUGUACACACCGCCCGUCACACCAUGAGAGUCGGUAACACCCGAAGCCGGUGGCCUAACCGCAAGGAAGGAGCUGUCUAAGGUGGGACUGAUGAUUGGGGUGAAGUCGUAACAAGGUAUCCCUACGGGAACGUGGGGAUG
rnacentral:rRNA from 1 species